rnacentral:rRNA from 1 species
CUGGCGGCGUGCCUCAGACAUGCAAGUCGAACGCGAAAGUCUCCUUCGGGGGACAAGUAGAGUGGCGCACGGGUGAGUAACACGUAGGUAAUCUACCUUCGGAUGGGGAAUAACAACCGGAAACGGUUGCUAAUACCGCAUAAUGCAGCGGCACCUAAUGGUGACAGUUGUUAAAGCGGGGGAUCGAAAGACCUCGCGUCUAAAGAGGAGCCUGCGGCGGAUUAGCUAGUUGGUAAGGUAAUGGCUUACCAAGGCUACGAUCCGUAACCGGCCUGAGAGGGCGGUCGGUCACACUGACACUGACAUACGGGUCAGACUCCUACGGGAGGCAGCAGUCGGGAAUUUUGGGCAAUGGGCGAAAGCCUGACCCAGCAACGCCGCGUGAAGGAUGAAAUCCCUCGGGAUGUAAACUUCGCAAGAACGGGAAGAAUAAGUAGGGGACAAUACCCCCUAUGAUGACGGUACCGUUUGUAAGCUCCGGCUAACUCCGUGCCAGCAGCCGCGGUAAUACGGGGGGAGCAAGCGUUGUUCGGAUUUACUGGGCGUAAAGGGCGCGUAGGCGGUCAGCACAAGUCAGUUGUGAAAUCUCCGAGCUUAACUCGGAAAGGUCAACUGAUACUGUGCGGCUAGAGUGCAGAAGGGGCAACUGGAAUUCUUGGUGUAGCGGUGAAAUGCGUAGAUAUCAAGAGGAACACCUGCGGCGAAGGCGGGUUGCUGGGCCGACACUGACGCUGAGGCGCGAAAGCUAGGGGAGCGAACGGGAUUAGAUACCCCGGUAGUCCUAGCCUUAAACGAUGAAUGCUUGGUGUCUGGGGUUAUAAAGUCCCCGGGUGCCGUCGCUAACGCUUUAAGCAUUCCGCCUGGGGAGUACGGUCGCAAGACUGAAACUCAAAGGAAUUGACGGGGACCCGCACAAGCGGUGGAGCAUGUGGUUUAAUUCGACGCAACGCGAAGAACCUUACCUGGGCUAGAAUGCCUCUGACAACCCUAGAGAUAGGGCCUCCAAGGUAAAACUUGGCAGAGUGCAAGGUGCUGCAUGGCUGUCGUCAGCUCGUGUCGUGAGAUGUUGGGUUAAGUCCCGC